rnacentral:lncRNA from 1 species
UACAAAUUGAGAAUCAAAAUUACAUUUAAAACUCCUAAAACAGACUCUAUGACUUAGACGCAACUAGAAGUCUUGAAGUCUUGAUUUCCUGUAAAACAAUUCAUUAAAAAAUGAUUAACCUUAAAUUAUUAUACCUUCUCCCCCUUUGUUUUUGAUGAUCACAUCUCCCCCUUUGUUCUUGAAUUCAUCCUCAUCUCCUUUGAUUUCGAUCAACACUUGUUCAUCUAUACUCUCCCCCUUUUUGUCAAAAAUUGCCAAAGAUAAAGCAUACAAAGAGAGAAAACAUAGUAGAAAUCAUAUAGGAAUUUUUAGAGAGUGAAAGAGAGCGAUUUGAUUACGGAUUUUGGAGAGAAAUAAAUAAUUGAACCGUUUAAUAAAUUCUGUCAUGCGGUACUAAAACCUGUAUGCCAGAAUUUAAAAAUUUUGCCUCAAAAUGCUUCAUAAUAAAAUUAAUUUUAUAAAAAUUAAAGAUUUUACUCCAAA